AGUGAACGCUGGCGGUAGGCCUAACACAUGCAAGUCGAACGGCAGCACAGUAAGAGCUUGCUCUUACGGGUGGCGAGUGGCGGACGGGUGAGGAAUACAUCGGAAUCUACUUUUUCGUGGGGGAUAACGUAGGGAAACUUACGCUAAUACCGCAUACGACCUACGGGUGAAAGCAGGGGAUCUUCGGACCUUGCGCGAUUGAAUGAGCCGAUGUCGGAUUAGAUAGUUGGCGGGGUAAAGGCCCACCAAGGCGACGAUCCGUAGCUGGUCUGAGAGGAUGAUCAGCCACACUGGAACUGAGACACGGUCCAGACUCCUACGGGAAGCAGCAGUGGGGAAUAUUGGACAAUGGGCGCAAGCCUGAUCCAGCCAUACCGCGUGGGUGAAGAAGGCCUUCGGGUUGUAAAGCCCUUUUGUUGGGAAAGAAAAGCAGCAGGUUAAUACCCCGCUGUUCUGACGGUACCCAAAGAAUAAGCACCGGCUAACUUCGUG
rnacentral:rRNA from 1 species